GGUGAUCCUAGUUCCCAUACUUGAACACAGACGUACGACAGUCGUAGCACUAAGGUGAUCCUAGUUCCCAUACUUGAACACAGACGUACGACUGUCGUAGCACUAAGGUGAUCCUAGUUCCCAUACUUGAACACAGACGUACGACUGUCGUAGCACUAAGGUGAUCCUAGUUCCCAUACUUGAACACAGACGUACGACAGUCGUAGCACUAAGGUGAUCCUAGUUCCCAUACUUGAACACAGACGUACGACAGUCGUAGCACUAAGGUGAUCCUAGUUCCCAUACUUGAACACAG